AAAUCCUGUAAAACGGCCCCACCCCUUUCUCCCUUCACUGACUCUCUUUUCGGACUCAGCCUGCCUGCACCCAGGUGAUUAAAAGCUUUUAUUGCUCACACAAAGCCUGUUUGGUGGUCUCUUCACACGGAGGCGCAUGAAAUUUGGUGCCGUGACUCGGAUCAGGGGACUUCCCUUGGGAGAUCAAUCCCCUGUCCUCCUGUUCUUUGCUCGUGAGAAAGAUCCACGUACGACCUCAGGUCCUCAGACCGACCAGCCCAGUAAACAUCUCACCAAUUUAAAAUCCGUUCCUCCUGCAUUCACUUCUUCCUGCCGCCUUGUGAAGAAGGUGCCUUGCCUCCCCUUUGCCUUCCGCCAUGAUUGCAAGUUUCCUGAGGCCUCCCCAGCCAUGCUCAACUUUUGUAUGUGAAGAUCAUGUAACUUACGGAUUGAUCAGAAAAACUGAAGACGCAAUGCAAAGUAUGUCAGAUCUCAUUAUUUUUUCUAAAUCAAAGUAAUUGUUUCAAGCUACCCAUUCAAUGAAAUUAGCAAGAAACUCAGUAUUCAUCACUUUGUAUGGCUACCUUUGCCUCCAUGUGUGAAUUUGGACAGAACACUGGCCAGUGGUCUUCUACUGAGGUGCUAUUUAUUCAUUUAAAGUGGUGGCUACUUUGAGAACAUUCCCUUUUGUAUCAACUCUGCCUACAGAAAUCUUUGCCGGGUUCCCAGGGUUAAAGUCACACAAGGCCACAGAACUUCCCUGCCAAGGUCCUGCUUCUGGUACAGCUAUGUGGAUGGCUGCUAUGUUGGAACAAACCUGUUGUCAUCACCCCAUCCUAAGGGCAUCAAAUUGUCUUUCUCUGUCUUGUUUUAGCUCCCCCCGUGUUUUUCUCUAAAUAUCAACGUUAGUACUUUCCCUUUAUAGAAGUUAGCUUAAUAGUCUAAAAUACAGAAACGAAGCCCCUCAAAUGCUAUCUUGAGCUCUUGCCUACACCUCAUUGUUCAACCCUGAAACAUGAAAAAUCUAACCCUCUGAAGAAGCAAGGUAACUCAGAACUCCCUCCUGUGAGGUAAAAACAGAAAAUCACACAGUAGAAUUUCCAGGAGACUAAUUAAUUAAUUAAUAACUUACAAUCUUAUUGAUAAAGCCAUCUCUCUUGGGGGUCAUUAGUAUGGAAUUUGAUAUAUAGAUAUAAUCAUAUCAAGGGAUCAGAAGCUUCCCCAGUUCCCUGGAGAAGAAAAUGUUCGAUUUGUUUGAUUAAUUUGCUGCUCUCAUCGGUUAAGUAUGAAAUUGUUAUUAAGUCUAUAUUAAAAAGAAAACCUUUACAUCAGAAGUCAAACAUACAUUUCUCAGGUUUUUAUUAGUAUGCAGCACAACCUAGCCUCAGAUGAUGUCAUGUUGAUACUUUUUCUAAAAGAAUAAACAAAGCCAUUAAAAUAUGACUGUGUAGCAUUCCUCUUUCAGGCUGGUAAAACAAAGGCUUAGAAAAUCAACUCAUAUAAGACAAUUUUCCCAUAAAUUAGAACUCUUAUUUAUUUAAUUAUUUAUUUACUUCUAAAGUACAAGAAAAGCAUUCCAUAUGAAAGCUGUUCCCACUCACAUUUUCCACUGUUAACAUGAAUAAAUAUUACAUCAUUCAGUGCAUCAACUCAUAAUUGAUAUGAAUAAAGAAAUCUUAAUUAUUUUUUUAAUAGUACACAGCGGUAUUAGAGAAAAUAUCCUGGUCAUUUUGACUCUUACUUCUAUUUAAUUCUUGGUGAAAUAGUUGAACCAUCAUUGAAUAACAAAAAAUGAGAAUAUAAUUUAAAAGCAGUGGGUGGUGUUAGGCACCCAUCAUAUGGCAGUAUUAAUUUUGUCACAGAUGUACAGUAAAAAGUAACAGUACAAGGACUGAAUUUUAAGCUUAGGCUAAUAUAGAAUACCAGGGAUAAUGGCAUUUUACAAAUACGCGCGCACACACACACACACACACACACACACAUUUCCAUAUGUACUAUGGAUCAGAGAAUAUUGAUGGGUAAUUAAUAUAAGUCCAUAAUUGGUUAUAAGACAAGUCUAUGUAUCAAUGUCUUUGCUAAUUUGGUUUUUAUAAGAAGGCAAAAAGGCAGACGGGAGAACAGCUCCCUUCAACUUGGGCCACUUACAGCAGAACUGUCAUGCUCUAUCCAUCUCUGCCCCCAUAGCCCUUUUCACUGUGGUGCACUCCUGACUUCCAACGGGCUGAGAGUUUUCUCACGCAGCCACGGCCUGUGCACCUGAAAACACCACAGGCUGGAAGUACAAGAGAGAUCAUGACCACUUGGGGAAAAGGGGUAUAAGAACCCCAGAUCCCUUAUGCCCCAGAGAAGAUGAUGCUGAUGGCAAACUUUUCUAAGGGUUCUCAGUUUCCCAGUGGGAUUAAGCUACAGCUACCUGUACUGGUAACUGACUUGAUAAUGUGUUAUUAGUUGCCUUUUCUUUUCUAUCUACAUCUCCACUUCCCUGCCAAAUAAAGAACUUGGCCUGGAUUCCUUGUCUCACAGCCAGCUUCCAGGAGAGCCAAAUGAAGGCUGCACUCUGAAUAAACAGCCACCGUGAGAGUCAGUGGAGACAUUCUCUGUCUUGCAUCUAUUUUCAGGCACUCAAGCAGAAAAUAAAGGACCUCAGAAAAGGAACUCCACCCUCCCCCAAAACCCACCAAUCUAAGAUUCCCAAUUAAAAAAAAAAAAGGAUGUAGAAAGGAAAAAUAAGUGAAACUAUCUAAUUUUUACAUUUUGUUCUUCCUGCCCCUUUUAUAGCUUUUAUCUCUGAUAUCUUAAGAUGUAUUUUCUAUGUACAGCCAUUUCAUUGUGUCUCAGUAAAAUAACAUGCCUUUGCCUCUUCCUUCUCAACUCUCUGUUCAUACUUUCCUAGGCCUAUAAACAGACUAUGCUGACAGAGGUCCAUACUUUGUCCCAGGUGUUUGCAAAUGCUUAUUGUGUACGGAUCCACCUCUCCAAGGAAUAAAUAAAAUCAUUAAGCAAUUUCAAUAUUAUCACAGACAUGCCAAAUAGGAAAUCAAGCAGGACAAUUGACUUCCCAACUCAUAUGCUAAAAUGCUCAGUUUCUUAUGUAAAAACUGAAUGUGGCAGUGCUACCUGGUAAAGUUUCCAAUAUAGGUAUACAUUUGAUAUUUCAGAAUACUCUGUGCAAAUUAAGAUGUGAAUUUUCAGUUCAAAGAUAAUGGGGAAAGGAUUCCCUAUUUAAU
rnacentral:lncRNA from 10 species